AUGUACCCAAUUGAAAGGCGGUUGUAUACUUUGAAGCGCUAUGUGAGGAAUAGGGCACGACCAGAAGGGUCGAUUGCUGAGGCAUAUGUUGCUGAUGAGCGCCUGACAUUUUGUUCCAAGUACAUGAACGAUGUUGAAACAAGAUUUAAUCGGGAGCCAAGAAAUAUAGGUUUUUCAGAUGAAGAAGCCUAUGAUGUUGAUGUUUUCGGGCAUGGAGUUAAUUUUACUUCAGCAUAUCAAUAUGUAUAUGUUGAAAAUGAAUUUGAUCAAAUGGUGUGGUACGUGUUGAACAAUUGUAGUCAAGUUGAGAAAUAUAGAAGGUGA
rnacentral:rRNA from 1 species